UACGGUUAAAUCACGCUGAAACACCGGUUCUCGUUCGAUCACCGAAGUUCGAGCCAAGUCAGUACUUAGAUGGGGGACCGCUUGGGAACCUGG